GACGAACGCUGGCGGCGCGCCUAACACAUGCAAGUCGAACGAGCGAGAGAGAGCUUGCUUUCUCGAGCGAGUGGCGAACGGGUGAGUAACGCGUGAGGAACCUGCCUCAAAGAGGGGGACAACAGUUGGAAACGACUGCUAAUACCGCAUAAGCCCACGACCCGGCAUCGGGUUGAGGGAAAAGGAGCAAUCCGCUUUGAGAUGGCCCCGCGUCUGAUUAGGUAGUUGGUGGGGUAACGGCCUACCAAGCCGACGAUCAGUAGCCGACCUGAGAGGGUGACCGGCCACAUUGGGACUGAGACACGGCCCAA
rnacentral:rRNA from 1 species